rnacentral:rRNA from 2 species
GUGCGAGACCGAUAGCGAACAAGUACCGUGAGGGAAAGAUGAAAAGAACUUUGAAAAGAGAGUUAAAGAGUACCUGAAACUGCUGAAAGGGAACCGAAUCGUUUCCAGUGUCUAUAAUCCAUGGUAUAUUUCAUUGGUGUGUAAGUGCGUGCAGCGUUUUGGAAGUAGUUUUCUGCUCCUGUCGUUGUUGUGCAUUUGCCUGCUGGUGCCCUGUGCUGUGGUGGGACGUCAGAGUCAGUUCGUGUGUUGCGGGAAAUGGUUAUUGGGGAGGUAGGUCAUUUCGGUGGCUGUUAUAUCCUGAUAACUAGUCGUCGUGGCUGGGACUGAGGUGCCUAC